AAAGAGGUAGAUCAAAAGGAAGAAAAUCGGAAACAUUUUUAUUCAUGUGUCAAAGUAUAUUCCAGACAAACCUAACUGAAUUAAAGCAAAGCUUGGUGUAUGUAUGUAUGCAUAUAUAUAUAUGCGAAGUAUUAAAACAGAAGAAAAGUAGCGAAGGCACGCAUCAGAGUAAUUCUCGCAGAUCAGUUUUCCAGUACAGAAGGACAGACAUAGUCCGAAUAAGGUCUCAAUACAGGAGCCAUGCACAAGAUGGACUUGGAAAAUAUUUCCCUAAUUCCGGGAAGAAAAGUAGUACACUUGAUGUUUGUUCUGGGGAAAAAAAAAAUCAAAGCAAGAAAUGAGUCACUUUUCUUAAAUGAUACCAUUCUUUUUCUCAUUUGCUUCCAAACUGCUGUAUGUGACGAUAACCUGGAAGUCCCUGACCUGGUCAUCUAUCGUUAUUAGCUGUAACUUUUGAUAGCAUUUUUGCAAGGAAAAGCAACUUGGCAAAUCCACACCCCUGUGCGUCACAUUUUCUGACACUGAAAUUAACCGUCAAAAAAGAAGUAACUACUUUCUGAAAAACUGACACUAAAUCAAGGUAGAUAGGAGGUUAUCCAACUCUUUGCUCCUCAAAUUCUCACAAUUAAUUAAGCAAAUCCUAAUUUAGGUUUUGUUGUGCAUACACACACACACACACACACACACACACACACACUAAGGGAAUAUAGCGGGGGUUUUUUCCCUCCUACCCAGAAAGGAUAAAUAAAAACCUACUUUCUUCACCAGUGAAAAGGAGCCAAGAGUCCACUAAGCAGCCUGGGCACCUUUCUAUAGAGAGUACUUUUUAAUUUCUGAAUUCUAAUUACUGUAUUUUUUCCUUUCAUCUUAAAAACCUUGGCCUGGAUUUUUGUUUGUUUUGUUUUGUUGUUAAAUCCGGCCACAGCUUCAGCUGUCCUCCUAGAAGGGACAGGAACUCCACUGUGCUCUGUUGUUCUUGGCAUGGCCCUUUCACAUUACAGCUGUUGGCUAAAGGUUACUUCACUGGGCCGUGUGAGUCGCUCACAACUAGGUUCCAUUUCUCCCCACGGCUUUACCUCCCGGAUAACCAAAUGAAACAGUUGACUCGGUGAUGCACACAGACACCUUCUUCUGUGUCUCUGCUACUGAACUGGGGAACAUCUUAUUUUAAGGUCUUGCUAAGUGUGGUUUGCAGCUUAGAGCAUUUAGUGAACUAGGGCAUGGUCCAAGUAGAUGGCGGCUGAGAGUUAUUCAGAAAGCCAAGGAAUUUUCACUGAGGCUUCAGGUGCAAUUAGAUAUAGAAGAUCAAAAUGCCUUAAAAGGAAUUGAGUAGGUAGGCAGGUUCCUGAAUAUAGAGAUACUUUCACUGUUAAAAUUAAUAAACUUUUAAAAAUUAUCCCACGAGCCCAAACAUAUCCCUUUAGAGUUAAUUAAGUCUUGGAGGUACAGUCACAAAACUUAGCUUGAAAGUAAAAUUCUUGCUUAAAGCCUGUAGGGUAAAAACUGGCAAAAGUUUAUAGGAACGAAUUUCCAUAAGCCUGCACCUCACAGGGCUCAGUCACAUUUGUCACCACCUAGAGGGGAAAUGGAGUAGUUCCUCCGUGUCCAUGGAAACAAUACAACCACUCUCCUCCUGCACACCCUGGGAAAUGCCAGCUUACUCCGCCCUGGCCUUGCCCAGGAAGCCACCCCUGCUAUUCUUUCUUCCUAGGAAAAGAAAACACACCGUACCCAGGGAACUUUCAAGAGUUAUCUCAUUUUUUGAAAGGCAUUAAAAUUACAAAAACUCAGAGAUAAUCUUUUAACUGCUCUCCUACACUGAAAUAAUUUUUAUAUAUGUCCAUGACGGCAAAGAUGUUAAUUCCCUAAGACACCAAGACUCAACAACACAGAGACUUCACUGUAAAAGGACAAGAACAACAAACAUUAACACUGCAAGAGCUGUUUGAUUUUUUUAUUAUUAUUAAAUUAUGAUUCUCUAACUUUUGGCAGUAAAAUGAAAUAAGCUGUAAAUAUUGUUCUUACUCCACAGGGUCUCAAGUAACUAAAAAGGUGUUCUUUUAACUACAAAUAAUUGAAAAAAAUUCAUCUUCAUAUAAUUUGGCUGAACCAAGUAGCAUUACGAUAAAACUACUGUAACCCUGUGGUGACGCCAUUCAUUUCCCAUACCAGUAAAUUUUAUUUUAAGAUCAUUCACAAAUUUUUUCAAUGGUUUAAAGACAAUGAGGGCCAAAUUAUGAAAGGACUCAGAAAGGAUUAUUUUGAGGAGGACAUUAAAGUCUGGAUGCUCCAAAUUGACUCUUUUAAUUAAUUACCUUCACAUUCUGCCUUCAUUGCUCCACCCCUAAAGCCACUCCUCAUUUCCUGAGUUGAUGACCAAAGUACUCGUUAGUCAAUGAGUUCCAUUCCCAGCUGUAAUCGAAAACAGAGCAACCUUGCAUUGACUAAAUAUUAUACUUGGAACCUCAAGAGUCUCUUGAGGCUAUUUUCAAGCUAGUAUGCAUUUAGCAAAUAACUAAUUUUUAUACAGACAAAGGGCUGUUGAAAUCAAUGUUUACCCACUAUGUAGCCCUGGAUGGAUGGCUUGGCACUCAGCAUGUAGACUAGGCUGACCUUGAACUCAUAGAGAUCUGCCUGCUUCUGCCUCCAAAGUGCUGCGGUUAAAGGCGCCAACACACCCAGCAUGAAAUUGAUAUUUAGUGUUACUGGAAAUGGUGAUACCAAAUUCUCCAUUAUUUUGAGGGGGGUGUGGAGAAACGCAGGUCACACUGGCACUGAUCGCCACAGAGCUACUCUUUGGAAGUAAGCACAGUCCGUGGUGAAGAACAAAAUCCGAGUCCUGAGUGGGGUCCCAGAGAACAGAAAGAUCCCCUCCCCUUCCACAGGAAACACGUUGCCGUAUCUUCAUUACUCUGGGAAUGUUAGAAAAUACAGCACUUAAUAUGGAAGUACUCCAGUGGAAAUGCUCCUACAUCUGGAGAUUAUAGACUUGUG
rnacentral:lncRNA from 1 species